rnacentral:lncRNA from 1 species
AGAAAUGAAGAGAUAAAAAAAUCUGAAAAAUCAGAAACAGCUGAGUUAAGAAAUACUUGAAGAUUUUGGCAUUUUGGGUAAAAAUUGGUUUAAUCCUGCAGUUUAAUCCUUCAAUUUUGAAACCUUCAAAGUGGUUGAUUUAUUCUUGAUUUAAAAGAUGAUUUGAGGGUUGCUUGACUCUUGUUCCAUUGCUGAAUUUCUGGGCUGAUCCUGCUGUUCAUUUCCUCUUGUUGAAUCUCUGCUGUUGUUUCUUCUUAGCCUCUAACUAAGUUUGCUGGUCUAUAUUGUUGUAUUCAGGUACAUGUUCUUUAAUUCUACCUAAUGUAAAGCCUGAUUCGAGUUUGAUAUGGAAAUCUGGAGCUUUGGAGCAUAGCGUCAACCUAUUCCUUUUGAUGUAGUUUAGUUUCAUUCUUAUUUUAAAUCAUGAGUUAUAUGGUGCAUGUUUUUUGCUGGUUGGUGACAGUAUACCUUAAGGGUCGAACUCGGAUUGGAAUUAGCAAGAGACUCAAUUUUCUGUUAAAUGUUUCAUAAUUAAAUGUUGGUGUUGUAUAACUGAACCUUUAUCAUGGUGUUUGAUUUGAGCCAUCAUGAAAGCUUGAUUAACAGUCUGCCUAGAUAAGUCAAUAGUUGAAUUUUUGCAUUCAACCACGAUUAGUAGCUUGCUUAGUCAGAUCUUGGACUCUUUUGCUUUGAGUCUUGGUCGAAGUUGUUGUCAGCAUGUUUAUAAGGCAUACGUAACUCUUUACCACAUGGAGGUUUCCUAAAGUUAACAACAUGUUUGAAUCUAUGAUCUCGUAGGUUUUUUGCUUGGGAUUUUAAGUUAUUAAACAUGUUACUUAAGAUUAUGCUGGUGUAAUGUCAAUUUCCCAGGGAUCUUUGAGUUUUUUUUUUCGUAAAUCAUAUUCUCCUGUUAUAAUCUUCAUGGUUUGGACUUUCAAGUAAAAAUGGAAUAUUGUGCAAUUGGUGUCAUUAGGGUAGUUGAAUUCGAGAAUUGAUUCUCUUUUGAAAUGGUGUCAUGGCUUGAUGAUGUUUCACCCUUUUACCUUGUUGCUUUACUUGGUUAAUUGUUGACGUGAAGUCAGUUUUUAGUUCCAAAUACAAGUGAAUGUUAUUUUUUAUGUUAUUAAGGGAAAUCGAACCUGAAUCCCAACUUUGUGACAAUGGGCUGACUUCAGAAGUUGGGUUCCCUUUAGGCUUAAUGUAGGCUGCAAGAAAUCAGCAACCGUACAGCCUGACAAGUUUGAUAAGCUAUUAGGCCUCACUUCGGGCCCAGGCUUUGGGAUAGUUUGGACCUUGUGUAAUGUCCGUCCAUCUAUUGAAUGAAUCAAGUUUGGGAUUUUAGUUUAAAGUAACUUUAAGUUCUUUUAAAACCGUCCUCCAUCAAUUAGCCAGGUUUUCUUUUCUUUUAAAAAAAAGGUAGAUUGGAGGCGCGCUAUAUUAGAUAACACAAAUAGCUUAUGGCCCUCCAAAUUUAGUUUGGAUUUCCCUUGAAAAUUGGAAAUGAAGUGUGUUGUUCCAAGUAAAUCUAAAAUGCAUGGCCCUCAUUUAAUUAUUUCUUUCAAAUCCUUAGAAUUCGAGGCGUGCCAUUUAGCGAAAUUUCCAUGGCCCUCGCAAAGUUGUAAAUGCGUAGUUGCUUUAGGCGUGUAUUUUAAUAAUAUUACUUUCCUAAAUUCGGGUGUGCAUUUCAUGUGACCCAAAUCAAAUCUUAAAACGUUGAAUAAAAUGUGUCUCGGACUGCGGGUGCAUUUCAUGUGGUGUGGUCCAAAGACGUGUUUUAGAUGACGUUGAAAUCUUCCUUAAAAUAAUUAAAAGGGGUUUAAAUCUAAAAUGCACAUAGGUUCAAAAUGUUUUUAAAAUCAGAUAACAGACGAAUUGUAAUAGUUGAGCGACCGUGCUAGAACCACGGAACUCGAGAAUGCCUAACACUUUCUCCCAGGUUAACAAAAUUCCUUACCCGGAUUUCUGUUUCGCGGACUGUAAUACAGAGUCAAUCUUUUCCUCAAUUCGGGAUUCAACCGGUGACUUGGGACACCAUAAAUCUCCCAAGUGGCGACUCUGAAUUUGUAAAUAAAUAAUCCCGUUACGAUUGUCUUUUAAUUGGAAAACUCCCUUAUACACCACUCUUCCGGGGUGUGUAUGAAAAAAGGAGUUGUGACAGCCAAGGAUAUGUAGGCAACCUCGGAAGUAAGGUGCGGUAAAAUCUUUCAAAAAUGCUUCCCACGGAGUAUUCAAAAGGGUAAAAAUCGCUCGUAUCCGCUCACUUUAUCUUUGCACGAAAACUCUCCGUGUUUCCGAGCAAAGAAGGGAAGCGGUGAGCACGUGAUUUUUGCCCUAUAGAAAUUACUCCUAUAAAAUUCAAAAAAAAUAAGAUUUUUCCAUUAUUUGCAAUUUUGUAGGAUUUUGUGAGAAUUUGUGUUAAUUGUUUGCAUUUCUAUGCGUGUUUAUUUCUGUUAAAAAAUCAUGAAAAUGUUAAACAAACACCAUGCAUUUGCAUUUUGGAUUUAUUUUUAGUUGCUUUGUUAAAAAAUGAAAAUUACAAAAAUUGGCUUACUUUUGCGUUUUUAGUCUUUUAAUUUUAAAUUUGUAAUUUCCCUUUUAAUUUAGGAGUAAUUAAUUUUCAUAAAUAUUUUAGUAGUUGAUCAGUUUUAUUUUUUUUAAAUUAAUUAAUUUAGGAGUUCAAUUUAGGUUUUAAUUAAUUAAAAAAAAGAAGAAAGGAAAGAAAAAUUUUAAAAAAAAAAAGGAAAAGGGGGAAUUUGAAAACAAAGGGGCUGGUUCUUAAUUCGUUGGGCCAAGUUGGACUUGUUGAGCCCAAGUAAUCAAAUUACCCGCCCCAACCCAUACAAAAGACCCAACCCAGUCCGCCUAUUAGCCUAAACGACAACAAUUCUUGUCCAAACGACACCGUAUUGCCUUUCCCCCAUCCUGGUCGUUGAUCCUAUGUGAUCUAACAAUCUGGAACUAAUCACCCUACCCCAGUAUAUAUGUCUGAACCAAGGCACCCCCCCCCAAUCCAAACCCCUCCCCUUCAGUCUCUCAUCGUCCCAACCAAAACCCUAGCGCUGACCUCAAUUUCUCUCUACCAUCUCCACCGGCGGUGGGUUCCAAACCACCCCAAAUUCGUACCACGCAACCCCCAGGCCCUUAUAAAUCAUAUCCCCACACUUGUUUCCCAAAAAUCCCAACAAAAUUUCCUCAAUUCCAAAUCUAGAAAGUUCGAACCUUAGAUUGUUCUGUUUUGCUAAAUUCACACAGAGUUCCGGCUCUCUUUGACCUAUAAUCUACGUUAGUCGAUUGCUCUUAACGAGAGAAAUCAAUUAGCAUUGGUUUUAGUUCAUUCCGAUGAUGCCGGAUUUUGACGAACUCACCAGAUUCCGGCCAAAUGUCUACUUUCGUCAUCGUUUAUCUAUCUAUUUCAUGUUGUCAAGACAUUCCGGCAUGAUUUGGUACUUUUCCCUCUUCUUUUUCACGAUUUUGUUCAUUGUAGCAUUUUCUAUUUUUUAAUUUUAUUUUUUAUUUGCUUCAUUGUUUUAUCUUGCCUGUAAUGGAAUCCGUUUUAAUUUGGUAGUUAAAAUUAGGUUUAAUCGUAAAAUUUUGAUUUAUUGUUUAUUUUUUGUUUCUGAAUUUGAUCUUCUUCGUUCAAUCAUUUGUGAUGGUUUGGGUCCUUGUAUUAACUGUGGUCAUCACUGGCCUGGUUAAAAAACCCGUUCAUUCGGGGUCUGGGGUUAACUUAACCCAGGUUGGCAUUCUAAAAGUAAAUAUAGGGGUGUCCGGGUUCAAUUUAGGGAUUUGGGGUUUUAGGGAAUCAUUUUCUGUUAGCAUAGAAGCUUCUAGAGGAUAGACUUAGAGUGGGUUUGUUAAGAGAUAAGGAGGGUCAGAUAUUUGAAAGGGUAAAAGGGGGAAAGCAACCAAGAGUUCAAGGGUAGAAAGGGAAUUGUUUAGUUGUACUAGGGCUGCUUUAGGCUGCUUAUUUAAGGACCUCUUUCAUUCAUUUUGCAGUGAGCCUUUUCAUACUCUGAAAACAGUAAAAUUUCCUGCAUCAUUUUGGGUUAUAAACUGUUGGGAAUUAUUUCUUUGGGUUCAUUGUUAGUAAUAGUUGAAGACUUUCUAAGGAUUUCUGGUUCAUUUGGUUUUAAAAAUGGUUUAAAAAGCUGAAUGUUGUUGUGUUGAUGGCACUGAUCCACUAUUGUUGCUAAACUCCUCACUCUCAUUGUUUUAUUUUGACCUUCAGGUAUUCCUUGGACUGUGAAUAGCAUGUGAUGUGUAAAUGUGCAAUCCG